CACUGACCCUUCAGCCUGCUUCCUUGAGCUUCUGGCAAAGAUAUCUCUAUCUAUCUAUAUCUCUGUCUCAUUAGAGAUAUCUUUGCCAGAAGCUCAAGGAAGCAGGCUGAAGGGUCAGUGU